GGCACGUCUUGGCACUGUUGCUCGCUGCUGCCUGGGAGAGAAAGCACUUUGAAGUCCUGUGCCGCAGGGAGUUACCCAGAAAGCAGAGCUCUGCCCACCUGCUGCUCAAAUCAAACAGCGUGGAAGGAGGAUAGUCUCAUAACAUCAAACGACAUACCAGAGGAGGAUAUUCUUGCUGUAAUUCUUGCUGAAUAUAUUUACUUGGAGAUUUUUUCUGGUGGGAAGUCCAAUGGCCACAGCUGGAAACCCCCCCCAGCCCUGAGCUACGAGUGAGCGCACACAAGGGUCCCAGCACGAGGAGCAGCCCAGCCUGGUCACAGCCCCAGAACUGGGUACGAAAAACCUCCUGGACUUAUCAGCGUUGAACCAGGGAGCUUGUCUGUGCCACCAGACAUCCCUCUGCCCCCUCCCUGCCUCAGCAGAGAGCUGGCACUGGGGCUGGCCUCACUGAAAGGGCUAAAACCCACCGUGGGAGGAGCGGGGCUGCCUACAUGAACACCAUUUUGCUGGAAGAGGAUUGAGCACCCACGUGCCAUGAGUUUGAGGGUCCCAGGAGGAUUGCAGCAGGUAGACAUGUUGAGCUGCUUAAAAAAAAUAAAAGACAUGGAGAUUUCAGCCCAAAUGUGCUGCCAGUGCUGCGGCUCUUCCAGGCUGUACUAAAAUGUCUAACUAAGCCCCCUCGUGUGGGAGAUGAGAUGGCCCCAGCCAUUAAAACGCAGCCACGUAUUUAAAGCUUAAGAGGGAAGGUUUAAUGGAUAAAGUCAAUUUAA